GGGCGAGUGGCGAAAUUGGUAGACGCACCACACUCAAAAUGUGGCGGUUUCGGCCUUGCGAGUUCGAGUCUCGCCUCGCCCA
rfam:Planktothricoides sp. SR001 contig_119, whole genome shotgun sequence.